UGUAAUUUAUGGAACACUGGUGUCACCUACAAUUUCAAUGAAUAGUUGAAGAAGUUAGGCAGUAGAUGGCCAAAAUCAUGCUCUGAAUUCUACAAACAACAUAAGUUAUUUAGAAUAAUAAAAUAUAAUUUCGCAAAAUUUACAUAUUCUUAAAUGAAAUUAUUGAUAACAAAUCGUUAUAUACUCCUAAAUAAUUAAUUAGGAUUUACAACUUUAUUUUAUUUUAUCUUCUCAGUAAUUAAGAGGUUAUACACAGUCAAAAGUCUUUUUAUUCAAAAACUGAACAUUAUUUAUUAAAAUAGUAAUAAUUGAAAUAAAAUAUUUUAUCUGAACAAAGUUCGGUUAUUGAAUUAAUUUGUAAAAAAUAUUUUAUUUAUAAAGAUGAAUCUCCAAAACUUUCAUAUCCCUAAAGAAAGAAGAGAAGUACCUAAAGUAAAACUUAUCGAUAAAUUACAUCGUGUAUUUGUUUAUACAUGCAUAGGAAUCGGAGGAAUAACUGGAAUACUUUGUGGAAUAAUAACAGCUAAUUAUUUUAUAAAUAUAAGACCAGAAGUAAAACGUCUAGCUCUUCAGAAAAAAAAAGACCUGCUUGAAGAAGGGUCUUCAUUUGAAAAUAAUGAAAUUGCUGAAGUUUCAUAAUUAACUAAGUUUGUUAGAAAUAUAAAUAAUUAUUAUAAACUUAAUAUUUUGUAAAAAUAGAUUUGAUUAUAGAAAUUUUAUUUCGUUUUUUAAUUGAUUAUUUUUAUAACUUUUUGUUUGAUCAAAUUGAUCAUUUGAUCAAAUUAGAUAAACAUUAAAGUUUAAAGAUGUACUUUCUGCUAAAACAUACAUCAUUAACCUGAAAAAAAGAUGUCGAAAAAUGUGAUUAAGAAUUAAGGAUAUUCAAUAAAUAAAAAUACCAAACGAGUAUAUUUCUAUAAAA